UCUUUUCCUUUUCCACACCAUAUUUCUCGUUCUCUUUGGCCCUUCACAUCACAAUCUCUCUUACCUUUUCUCUUUCCUUUACUGUCUGGCGUCCACCACUGUGUUUAUUUUGUCAACAUGUACCGGAACGCUUGGAUCUCCAACUAUAUCAACCAUGUCAAGUUGUGUCAGGGAGAAACAGCCACUAAAGUCAGCAAGACCAAACUACAACGGAGAGCUCUUAGCUUCCACAAAGAGUUUUCGUUUGAGGAAAAGGGCGAGGGAACCAACAGCAACAAAGAAUUAGAUGUCAGUCUAUUGACAAAUACACCCAAAGUCUCAGAAUUAAGAAAACGUUUUGAGGGUAUCAGUACAAGUCAGAGUUGGGACAUGAACAGAAAAGAGCGUAUUGCAAGGCGCCUGGAGGGUAUUGAUAGUGAAGUUCUCCAAAAUCUCCCAAGUUGUGCUGGUCUGGUGACCAAUCGGCUGCUAGAGGAGGACACUCCAAGAUACACCCGUGCAGCAGACACCUGUGACCCCUGUUUAGUUUCUCUUCAGCACUAUGGCAAAAGCGAUCCAAACUUCUCAAAAACGCACAACACAGACCACACUGUCCACCCUGAGUCUGCCUACAGCACUGACACCACCCAUGCGCCGGAUCUGGAAUCUAAAGCCGAACGCAUCGCCCGCUACAAGGCGGAGCGGCGACGUCAGCUAGCCGAGCGUUACGGUAUCUCUCUGGAUCAAGAAACGGACACCAGCUACACACCUCGCUUCUCCAGAACCUCCAGAGAGCCUGACGUUUCAGAUCGACAACGCAGGACAAAGGCAGAAGCAGAAGAGGUGGCGGAGCAUAAUGCUUACAUACCUAGUCCUCAUGAAGAUAAGACCAGCUCACACAUCCGCACAGAUCCAGAGUACACGUGGGAACGUAAAGACUCUCUCUCUGAGCGUGAGAGGUUGAUGAAUCUGGAGAACCAAAGGAGGGCACAAGAAAGGGAUAGAUUGCAUAGAGGUGGAGGUGUUGCACCUGACCCAUCUGCAACGUAUAUGGAUGUGUCUGGGUCCGCCAGAGUCCCAGCGGUCGUAGGAGUUCCCGGCUCACCCAUUGCAGGCAGAAGGGUCACAAUGCCGUCUCCCAAACAGGGAGCAUCUCCCGGUGACAUGUUUAUUGAGCAACAAUCUCAAAAUAUCCUACACAAACAAGGCUCCCAUAGCCAAUGGUCACUCCAGACUGAUUCGGAAGGAGACACCCUCACUCCGAUCAACUGGCCUUCCAGAAUCCGAGUUAGGGAGCGACUUGCCCGCGAGGAGCCUUUUCACAAGAGUCCAAAGUUGGGCUCCAAAACAGAGGGUCCUGCUUACAACCAGUUUCCCCAGUCAUACCCUCGAUAUCAUUCAAACGCUCCCACAUUCACUGAAACUCCAGCCACACGAAUGACCCAUCAAGAUCUAGAGGAUCGACAUCUUUACUUCUCUAUGGCCUGUGAACCUGGUUUUAAACCUGCACAUGAGAACCAGGAGGUGCUUGAAAAAGCAGAAUACAAAAUGGAGGAACGACAAGAUGGAAGGGCGAUUGGUCUCCUGCGCAGCAAGAAGGCUGUGUUACCCUCCGAGAUUCGACGGAAGGAAAAAAGCAUUGAAGAGCCAUGCCGUGGAUAUGCCGAGGCAAAACCAGGGAUCAGUGGGCGUGAAAGGGAGGGUGUUGCAGAAGACCCUAGGGGGAGGCGUGGAGCACGUGUUUACACAGAGCACGUAUCCCGACUUCAGGCUGCAGAGUCUAUGCAUUUAAAAGCUAAAGAAGCCCAAAGGAGGGCUGAUGCUAGCCUCUUUCAUCAGCAAGGAUCAAGUUAUGCACCACUUCAAACACCUACACAAGCCUCCAGUGGAGGAUGGGGGCAAAGUUCAUCCAAACCCCUCCCUCACUCCAUGCCAGAUGCUGGAAGUGUCCAAAAGGCUGCUCCUCAUCAAAACCAUAGAGAGGCUGCCCAUCAGGAAAAAGUGCCCAAUGGAGAUCAUCUGUCCAAUGAUGUCAGAGUUUCAGUGGCCAAGCUCCGCCACUCCUACCUGGAAAGUGUUGCAAGCACCCGGAAAACCGAACUGGCAAAGGGACUGCCUGCAGUUACAGAUGUACCCUGGAGAAAUGAAAGAGGCAGAGAUCGGUCGUCUCGUCGACCUAUGAGAUAUAUAUGUCCCACUGAAAGUAGAAAGACAUCUGAAAGGUUUAAAACUCAGCCAAUCACAACAACUGAACACAAACAAACAGACCGGUCUUGUCUAAGCCCUGAACCACUGAGCCCUGUGGUGGACGAGGAGAAGCUGGAUGAGAGAGCAAAGCUGAGCGUGGCUGCCAAGCGCUCUCUCUUUAGGGAGCUAGAGAAAACUUCUGAUGGUUCGGUUCUGAAGUCAUGGAGCCGUAACCCCGGCGCGGAGCGGAGGCUGAGGAGAGGUCAUGAUCGCUCCCGUACUCAGCCUGUGACCUCUGAGGAAGUGGUCAUUGCUGCUAGUGUCCCUGGCAAUUUGUCCCAGUCCGAGACUGUACAAACGUCUGUAGCACGUGUCCCUAGCCCCACUAUAAUCCACAGCUCUGUAACCAAAAGCAGCUUGCAGGCAUCAUCUCAGCAGAGCUCUAUGGUGAGGGAGCAGGCCAGAGAGGUUCGGCUGGCUCAGGAGGCUGCGGAGAUGAAUCGAGCUCACCACACAUCUCCUGGACCGGAUGUGCAGGAGGAGCCAGAUCUUUCCACGCUUACGCUAGCAGAGAAGAUGGCACUCUUUAAUCGCCUGGCGCAGUCAUCCGGCCAUGGUCCUCGGGUUAGAAGUGACACUCGGGCACGCAGGAGUAACGCCCGCUACCAGACCCAGCCAAUCACAUUAGGAGAGGUCGAACAGCUGCAGCCUCAGGGUGGAAGUCGUUUUGCAUCCACCUCUUCCUCUGCCCUUAAAUCAUCAACGGUUUCCACCGAACACGCCGGUGACAUCCACCUGGCCGCACCCAGUGUAUCUGGCCCCGCCUACUAUGAGCAGGAUCUGUCCCCACCGCACCACUCUCAAUCUGCCCGAGAGCUCCAGAACCAUCAGGGACCAGAUGUGUCACCUGUAUCCCAAAGAGAAAGUCUGGUUAUGGGCAUGGGGAAGAGGAAGCUCCCCUCUCCAGAAAGCCCAAAACAGACACCGCACACUCAGCCAUCCAGAGAGUGGGAGGAGUAUAAAGGGCACCAUAUGGAGCCGGUCACCUCUCGUGACUUUUCUGAAACAGAUGGAGAGCACAAGUCAAAGGCAGCUAUUUCAGAUCUUCCUGUCCACACAGCCACAGUACGUGCAGUGACAGCUGCGUCGCAGGACUCGUCCUCUUUACGGGCUUUGUCUCUCACUCAGCACACGCACGCACAGACACACACAGAGUCUGGCACACACCUCCCCGAGGAGGACGCGAGAGAGCAGGAGUACGAAACAGAAGAGGGAGACGAUAUCGCAGACAUCAUGUCUGCCAGACAGAUGUCAAUUAAAGAGAGGCUGGCUCUGUUGAAGAAGAGUGGAGAGGAAGACUGGAGGAACAGGAUCAAUAAAAAACAGGAUGUGGUAAAGGUUGCCCUGUCUGAAAAACACGCCCAGCUGUGGGAAGUGGAGCAGAGCUUCAAGAAGAAGGAUGAUGAGAUGAUGAUAGAUGACUUUGCAGUUUCUGAUCAACUUUGGGACCCUGUCUUUUCCUCCUCCUUUUCGUGUGCCUCUGAACCACUGGAUCAUAUACCCAUUUUCCCCCAGGCUUCCCCCCUGCCCAUGCAGGUGGAUGAGCGUCACCCCUGGAGACGGAAGAGGAUUGGAGAUGAGGCGGAGAGCCAGCGAAUCGAGAUGUCCAUUCAGGAGCGCAAACAGCUUAUCACCGCACAAGAAGAGGCCUGGAAGGUCAAAGGUUACGGAGCAGCAAAUGACUCUACCCAGUUUACUGUGGCUGGCCGAAUGGUCAAGAAGGGUCUUGCAGCACCCUCUGUGCUUUCAAAUCCAGUGUUGUCCCCUCUUCCCUCUAAGAACAAGAACACCUCCCAUGCCAUUUCAAAGCCAUAUGAAGAGAUUGAAGUCAGACAGGACAUGAAGCUGGAAUCAGACAAGAAGCUGGAAAAGUUGGAGUCAUUCCUUGGUCGACUAAAUAGUAAAGUUUUAGGACUUCAGGAGAGCACAAUUGCAGUCACAGAGAAGUCCGUUAAAGAGGUCAUGACACUUGAGGAUGAAACCUUUGAUAAGUUUUAUCGGCACACAGAGGAUAUUGCCAAGAUCACCGGCAGAGUGGAAAUCAAUGAUGAUUUCGAUACCAUCUUUGGAACGCAGCAGCCCAGGUUGACCUCAGAGAUGGUGCAGCACAAGCGAGCAGUUCGGCCAACCAGGAACGUUCAGUCUUCCAAGAACCCCAUGAAAACGUUGGCUGUUCGGGAGGACAUCAGACACGAGUACACGGAGCAGAGACUUAACAUCGGCCUUCUGGAAAGCAAGAGGAUGAGACAGGAAAAGAUGAAUAAAAACAGUGGAUUCUCUGAAGUUGCUCUUGCUGGAUUGGCCAGUAAGGAAAAUUUUAGCAAUGUGAAUCUGCGAAGUGUGAACGUCUCCGAGCAGAGCUCCAACAACAGUGCCAUGCCUUAUAAAAAACUCAUGCUCAUUCAGGUCAAAGGUCGUCGGCACGUCCAGACCAGAUUGGUGGAGCCCAGAUCAUCUUCUUUAAACAGUGGCGAUUGCUUCCUCUUGAUCACGCCUCAUCACUGCUUCAUCUGGAUCGGGGAAUUUGCAAAUGUUAUCGAGAAGGCCAAAGCCUCAGAGUUGGCCACAUUCAUUCAGACAAAACACGACCUGGGCUGCAGGGCUUCAUACGUGCAGACCAUUGAAGAAGGUGCCAACACUCAUACUCCUGCAGCCAAAGAGUUCUGGAAGAUUCUCGGUGGCCAAGCAAGUUAUCAGUCCGCAGGCACUCCAGAAGAGGAUGAGUUUUAUGAGAAUGCUGUGGUGGAGACCAACUGUAUCUACAGACUGUUGGAGGAUAAACUUGUUCCUGAUGAUGACUACUGGGGUCGAGUGCCUCGCUGCUCUAUGCUCAACUCUAAAGAGGUGCUAGUGUUUGAUUUUGGUAGCGAGGUAUACGUGUGGCAUGGUAAGGAGGUGAUGCUGACCCAGAGAAAAGUGGCUUUUCAGUUGGCUAAGCACCUGUGGAACGGCACUUUCGAUUAUAGCAACUGUGAUAUAAAUCCUCUGGAUCCCGGAGAAUGCAACUCACUCAUACCCAGAAAGGGUCAGGGACGACCAGACUGGGCUGUUUUUGGCAGGUUAACUCAGCACAAUGAAACUACUCUGUUUAAAGAGAAGUUCUUGGACUGGACUGAUGCUAAGAAACUAUCAAGAAAAAAUGACUGCGCACUUGGUGUUGAAAACAAGGAGCUUCGGAGCGGGGAAUGUAGGCCCUAUGAUGCAUCUCUUAUGUUGCCGAUGGUACGGGUGCCGGUGAGGACCGUUUUGGAUGGGGUGGAUAUUGGACGAGGUUAUGGAUUGGUGGAGGGCGACGAGGGGCGGAACUUUGAGAUUAGCACGUUGUCCGUUGAUGUCUGGCACAUUCUAGAGUUUGACUACAGUCGCCUACCCAAACAGAGCAUUGGACAGUUCCAUGAAGGGGACACGUAUGUUGUCAAAUGGAAGUACAUGAUCAGCACAGCAGUUGGAAAAAGGCUGAAUUCAGAAAGGAUCAUUGGUCCAGGGAAGGAGAAAUGUUGUUAUUUCUUCUGGCAGGGUCGUAACUCCACGGUAAGCGAGAAGGGGACGUCAGCGCUGAUGACUGUGGAGCUAGAUGAGGAAAGAGGAGCUCAGAUGCAGGUCCAGCAAGGGAAAGAACCUCCUUGUUUCCUACAGUGCUUCAACGGAGGAAUGAUUGUUCAUGCUGGAAAGCGAGAGGAAGAGGAGGAAAAUGCACAAAAUGAGUGGCAAUUGUACUGUGUAAGAGGAGAGAAACCCAUAGAAGGCCAUCUGCUGGAGGUGGUGUGCCACUGUAGCAGCCUGCGGUCCCGUACCUCCCUCAUUCUCCUGAACAUCCCUAGAGCCAGCAUGUACCUGUGGCACGGCUGCAAGGCUCAGAUGCACACGCGGGAUGUGGGCCGUACCGCUGCCAACAAGAUCAAGGAGCAGUGUCCACUGGAGGCGGGGCUUCACAGCAGCAGUAAGGUGUCCAUCCAGGAGUGUGAUGAAGGAGCAGAACCGCUAGGCUUCUGGGAGGCCUUGGGAAGGAGAGAUCGAAAGGCUUAUGAUUGCAUGCUGCAGGAUCCAGGGAAGUUUAACUUCACUCCUCGUCUGUUCCAGCUAAGCAGCACUUCAGGAGAGUUUGUGGCAGUGGAGUUCUUGUAUCCAUCCAGAGAGCCGAAUCUAGUCAACUCGAUGCCUUUCCUGCAAGAGGAUUUGUAUACAGCCACUCAGCCAGCUCUAUUUCUGGUGGAUAAUCACCAUGAAGUUUACCUGUGGCAGGGCUGGUGGCCUGUUGACAGUGAGAGCACGGGCUCAGCUCGCAUACGAUGGGACUCCGACAGGAAGUGUGCAAUGGAAACUGUGCUACAGUACUGCAAAGAAAAAAAUGAGAAAAAACCUCCGAAAUCAUACCUGAUCCACGCAGGGCUGGAACCUCUUACCUUCACUAACAUGUUUCCCAGCUGGGACCACCGAGAAGACAUUGCUGAGAUCACAGAGAAGGAAGCCGAAGUGUGUAAUCAGAUUAUCCUUGUUGAGGACGUCUUGACUAGACUCUGCAAGACCACUUACCCAUUAACUGAUCUACAAGCCCGUCCUCUACCAGAAGGCGUUGACCCUCUACGUCUCGAGAUCUACCUAUCAGAUGAAGACUUUGAGUCUUGCAUCUGACAGAGGUUAAUUUUUCCCUUCACAUGGCAGGGUGUAGGGGCUUCUGGGAAGAAAGCAUUGGAUAUGACAAGAAGUGAAUAUGAGGCAUUGCCAGGAUGGAAGCAAGUGAAUGUGAAGAAAGCCAAAGGAUUGUUUUAGUGUGAAAUGUGUUCGGAACUACACUGGAACUGCCGAGUGAAACUGCAAGUGGAAAACUUUCUCAUUCCUUUUGUUCCAGGAGGGAAAAAACAAGUGAAACUCUACCUGUGUCAAACCACACAGGGAGGAAGACGUUAAAGAGAAGACCGCGAUUACCAGGGGUUUACCAGCCUCUUGUACCACAUGCUUCCUAUUUUGUUUCGUUUUAUUUCAGGUUUUAGUUUUAUUCUUUUUGUUCUGCUCCGUUUUGGAAGCUCCCAAGUUUGUUGUUUUCUUCCUGUGCACAUCAUAGAAGCCAUUCAGCUGUCCAGCAUGCACAGUUCAGCCCUCAUGCACUGCCUAGCUUUACGUAAAGACCCAAUUAAAGCAGCCUUUUAGUAUUAUGUGAAUGUAAGAAAGCUCAGAUGUGUCAUUGUUAUGAAAUCAUGUAUGCACUGGUGUCACAUUAUGUAAUUAAGUUCUUAUCAUUCAUACCUGCUUACUUAUCAUCCAGAUAGGUGCUUGAUCUUUUUUGUUUGUGUGAGUGUUUGAGACUCUGUACAGUGUGUGAACGUGUCUCUUCGAAUAGGCUGGAUCGAAAUGAAAAUUGUGGAAUAAGAGAAUAUGUCUUUCUAUUCUGCAUUGUAUAGUGCCUUGCCUACAUGUACAGUUUAUAUAAAGACAGAUGCUAGUCUGCAUUUUUGAAGACUUAUUUGUGAUAUAAAUAAAUAUUAGAGCAAAAUAAACACUGAAAUAUGUAGAUAACAAA